AUGAGUUAAGUAUAAACCCCUUUACAAGUAUCAAUUGGAGGGCAAGUCUGGUGCCAGCAGCCGCGGUAAUUCCAGCUCCAAUAGCGUAUAUUAAAGUUGUUGCAGUUAAAAAGCUCGUAGUUGGAUUUCUGUUAAUAAUUUAUAUAAUAUUUUAACGAUAUUAUAUAAUAUUAACAUAAUUCAUAUUACUAUAAUUUAUUUAGUAUAUGAAAUUUUACUUUGAGAAAAUUAGAGUGCUUAAAGCAGGCAUUUGCCUUGAAUACUCCAGCAUGGAAUAAUAUAAAAGAUUUUUAUCUUUUUUAUUGGUUCUAAGAUAAAAAUAAUGAUUAAUAGGGACAGUUGGGGGCAUUUGUAUUUAACAGUCAGAGGUGAAAUUCUUAGAUUUGUUAAAGACAAACUAAUGCGAAAGCAUUUGCCAAGGAUGCUUUCAUUAAUCAAGAACGAAAGUUAGGGGAUCGAAGACGAUCAGAUACCGUCGUAGU
rnacentral:rRNA from 1 species